AACAACAAAAAGAAAAAAAAAAAAAAAAAAAAAGUCAAAUACUAGAGAAGUUGGUGGAGAAACCAGAGAAGUUGGUGUAGAAACCAUUAGUGUACUUCUAGAGAACAAGAGGUAAUUUAGAAAGUCUCUAAGAAAUCUUCAUAUCAGGUUGCAUGCAUGCACAAGUAGUCAGGACUGAAAAAAUGUUUAGAAAAAUAGCCAGUUACCUCAGCCUCCUCCUCUGAUUCUUCAUAGGCCUCAUCCUCCCCUCCCUGCUCAUGCCCUUCAUCUUCUUCCUCAUAAUCCUGAUCUGCUUCCACAUUCCUUCUACGUGAUGGAGAACCUUCAUCUUCUUCCCCUUCAGUUUCAUACUCAGAUUCCUCCUUCUCACUUUCAGAAAAGUCCAUUGACCGCCGAGAUGGCAAUGCUGAUUUGCGAGUUUUAGCCAGAAAAUGUUUACUAUUUUGACGAUUACCAUAUUAAAUCUGGAUGUUUAAGCUUAUCUAGAAUUUUGACGAUUAAUAGAAGGAACAUGGUUUAUAUGAUCUAAUGAAAUGCAAUUUGAAGAAUCAUUUCUAGUUUUGAACUCAAUUUCACAGACGACCAGGUCCGUGCGUGCGCGGAGCAAAAUUAUAGUUGUGGAAUUUGUCAAAACAUUUGAAGAAUCUUUUCCUAUUUUGAACUCAAUUUCAUGAAUAAUUGUCCUCUCUUGAAGCAUUUAAUUAUGUCAACUAUCAAUGAGAAAGACAAGAAAAUUCACCUUUCAAAACAUUUUUUUAAACAUAGAAAAAAAUAAAUAAAUAAAUUGUGGCUAAAGCAGCUCCGAGUCGCACAGAGCUGCUGCACGAAGUAGCAGCCCCGUGUGACAUGAGUUGCCAAGCUCCGUGUGAAGGGACUCCCCUAACUUUAAAAAUUUUUUUUAUUUAUUUUUAUUUUUUAGUAGUGGACCUUAUUAUUAUAAAUUUUUUUUUUUACUAUUAUAAUGAGUAAGCUAAAAACUGAAAAAUAUAGGUUACGGGCAUCAAGUUUGAUGCCCUAACCUAUAGUCUCAUUUUCUUCUUUUUCUUUUUUUUUUUUUUUUUUUUUUUUUUUUUAAAAAAAAAUUACUAAAUGAAACUUAGUUAUGAAUUUGGGUUAUUUCCAUGAUAUGAAUUAAGAACUAUACCAAGGGUAGUUUGACAAAGCUUGAGAUAAGACUUUAGCAAAUUUUGAUAAAAGUUGAUAAAAUAUGUGGUUGAAAAUUUGAUAAAAAAUGUUAGUCCCAUGAAUAGUAUGAUAAAAUUAAUUUUUGACUUUGAUUCAACUUUUGAAGAUAUCUCAAACAAGAGCAAAUAUAACAUUUUAUGAUAAAGAUUGUUUGAAAACAAAUGCAAUCGCUUAUAAAGAAAUUAAGUAGAUUUCCCUCUUGGGUCUUUAAUAAGUCUCUAAUAGAAUUUUGAAUCUAUUGUUAUCACAAUAACAAGUAAUAUUACAACAUAACACAAUAUCAAGUACAUAUACUUGGAAUCGAAUCAAAGCUCAUGAGAUAUAUCCUUUUUCAUUAUGAUUGUCUUGUCUUAUCUAGGACCGAUCCAGAUGACCAUGCACAAAAGCAUGAAUGUUAUGCCCAUGUUUGAUAGUGAUUAAAAUCUAGAUUUUAGUCUAGUCAAAAUCAAUAAUUAAUAUUAGCCACAUAUUUCAUGAAAUCCGCAAUAUUUUAACUACUAUUUCAUCAUCUUUUAUCACAAUUUAUUGAAAAUUUGAUUUUAAUUCUCACCAAACAAGAAUCAUAUUUUGUUUUGAUAGUUGGUUGAAGAUUAUGCCUUGUUUGAACCCUAUUCUUUUGAUAAAAAUGAAUUUUUGAAUAAUGUACUGAUGGAAAAUGUGCAACUAAAAAAUGAGAAAAAAAUUUGGAUUUACACGUAAUAUUAUUUUAUUAAAAAAAAUAUAUGGUUAAAAUGAUGUCAAAACACUACUUAAGAAUGAAAUUUUUUCGAAUAAUGAAAAUCAAAUAGGGGCUAUAUUGGCUCAAACAUGUUUUUGGCUCCAUUGGGUGCUAUUUUAUUUAUGUCAAGCCCUAAGGAAAAUAAAAUAUUAUAUCCUUAAUCACACACCAAAAUUCUUGUGUGUAGCUAGUCAAACUCGACUCCAAAUUAAACGUGUCAAAUACGACUCUGAAUUGAGUAUCGGAAUCAAACUAGAUGACUUUUAUAUCAAUUUGGGACUAAAAUUGGACGUGUUUAUUCACUUAGAAAAUAUAAUAUUAAAGUGCUUGAAUAAAUUAUUCAUUUUAUACAAAUAUUAAAUUUCAAAUUUCUAAAAAUGUGCACUUAUUAAAUUUGUGAUGAAAUUAUAAGAAAACAUACGAAGAUUUGCAUGGAAGAAAUAAAGCAUGAGAAAAGGAAAUGAAGCUCACAUUAAUAUGUUUGAAUAACUUUUUAAGUACAAAUCAAGCAUCUGUUGGAUAGUAGUUUAAUGCCAUGAAAAAGAUCACUAGGUAUCGAAUGGUUAUUGAAAGAUGGGAAUGCUUCUUAAUUAAUUAGUAUUUACUCAUGGGAUUCCACCACCAGCUCCUGCACCAAAUCCACUACCGGAUCCUCCACCCAAUUCGCCUCCACCACCGCCUCCGCCACCAAAACCUCCUCCUCCUCCUUGGGCACCAUUUCCAAACCCACCACCAAAUCCUCCUCCAGAACCAGAACCACCCCCUGUUCCUCCCCCUCCACCUCCUCCUCCACCUCCUCCAAACCCUCCACCUCCUCCAUGAGAACCACUUCCCAUCCCACCACCAAAUCCUGCUCCAUAACCAGAACCAGAACCACUACCACCUAUUCCUCCACCACCACCACCACCUCCACCUCCACCAAACCCUCCACCUUCUCCUUGAGCACCACCUCCAAUCCCACCACCCAUUCCUCCUCCAGAACCAAAACCACCUUUCGUUCCUCCACCUCCACCAAAGCCUCCACCACCACCUCCACCAAGCCCUCCUAGAUCCCAGUGACCAAGGGAUAAAUUUUUAUCUCCAUCUAAAGAACCCUCUGAGCCAACAAGCUUUCUUGCAGUGGUGGUGCAAAUAAGAACACUAAGGAGAACCAAGAGAACAAAUUUGGAAGGCAUCUCAAUUUGUAAGUAAAAGACAGGUAUUCAAUCUUGAUUGAUAACAACUUAGAACACAUGAAAGUGUUAUAUAAUGCUAGAAUAUCAAUUAUUUGCAAUAAAGUUUAAUGCUUGAAUUAAUGUGCAUUAAUGAAAGUCUCAUAACUUGACGGUUAUUGUAUUAGUAACUAGAAAUUUAGAUUUUUGUGUUUAGUUAUUAAUCGGUGCAUUAGUAAAUUAAUUUCUGAAUUAAUGGAUGUUUUAAUUUCUUUUCCUUUUAUCAUGUUUCAUUUUUCUUAAAUUACCUAACAUUUAUUUUUUCAGUUUCAUUUCGAGUUCAUCAUAAUCUCUCUCCCCCCUCCCCGAGGAGAGAGAGAGAGAGAGAGAGAGAUGAGGCAAGUGUUAUUUAGCAAUUUAAAGUAAUCCCGAGUCAAGUAUCAAUAAGAUUUAAAGGUAUAAGCAAGAAAUGAAAUUUUAUUUUAUGGCCAAGUGAGCAGUUCAGCAGAAAAGCUUUUGCUUAUUUUUGCACUUGCAAUAGAGUUUGGCGUAAAUUCUCUCUGAAUUUCGAAUAAGAACUAACGUGCCCUAUCAUGGAAAAUUAUACUUUCGUGUAUGGAUUGACAAAUAACUAUAUAUGUAUUGUUGAGUUUAUAACUUAAAAAUUGAAUUUUAUUUAUGAAAUGGAAUUUUGAAUACACAGUCACCAAAGCCACAAUCUAUUAUAUCCACUCAAAUGAGAUUUUCUCACUCCACUAAAUACAUACACUGGUUGUAUAUAUACACAGGAGCGGAGCUACAUAAAGUUCAGUGCGGGCAUCGGCCUGCACUUUGAACUUGACACAGGAAACUCCAGUGUGCUUGCACUGGACCAAGAAGAGAAGAAGAAGAAGGAGAAGAGGGAAGAAAGAAGAAGAAAAAGUGUGUCUGCACUCUACAGGCACUGGCGGAGGAAGAAGAGUUACAGUUGCCGACGGGGAAGAAGGAAAGGAGGAAAAAGAGUUACACUUACAGUUGCCAAUAGGGAAGAAGAAGGGAAGGAGGAAGAAGAGUUUAGUUGGGCCAAUUUUUUAUUUUUUUAGAUUUUGGGCCUUCUCUUUAGUUAGGCUUUUUGAGAAAAAAAAAAAUAAAAACAAUAGGCCCUUGAAAAAUCAUAUGCAAAGUUUUUUGGAAGUAAAAAAAUACUGUGUAAAAUUAAAAAGUGACAGAGUAUCACUUUUUUCACAAAAAAAAAAGUGACAAACACUCAAAAAGUGGCAAAAUUAAAAAUAAUAAUAAUAAAAAAAGUGACACCAACUCAAAAAAAAUGACAGACACUAAAAAAAAGUAAAUUCUACAAAUUCAAAAAAAGGUUAUGGAAAUUUAAAAAAGUGACGGACACUCAAAUAAAAAAAAAAUUUCUACAAAUUCAAAAAAGUGACACACUAAAAAAGUGACAGAAAUUCAAAAAAGUAACGGACUCUAAAAAAUAAAUUCUACAAAUUCAAAAGAGUGACAAAAAUUCGAUAAAGAAACAUAAAUUAAAAAAAGUGACGAACACUAAAAAAUUUACUUAAAACAAGUGACAAAUGCUAAAAAAAGUGAUUACAUUCUUCCUUCCUAGCAACAAAACUGACUAACAUCUAACUGCAGCCAGACUAAGAAACUUUAAAUUGAAGUAAUGGAUUGUGUCUUCUUUUGCGAUGCUUCUGGAUAUCACUUAUAAUUGGUGGCCAAUAUACAAGAGAGAGUGAAUUAACAUCAAAAGAGGAUUUCACGAACUGUCUCUAGCAACAUGUCCAUAGAGAGCUCCUCAUUAUCAAUUCUGUUUUUUUAAAAGGCACGAAUGCAACAGUAGUAUCACUAGCAACUGGCUGGCUAUUUCUUGUUAUUUCCUGCCAUUUCUGCAGUAGCAUCAGUGCAUCACCAACAUUUGCAAACCUAUUUACUCAACGGGUGACCGAAAGUGUCAAGUACAUGGUCUUUAAGGGGGGAAAAAGAGUAUCGAAAAUGUUAAAGAUAAGUUUAAUGUCUCUUUAAACUUUCAAGUAAAAAGGAUUGAAAAGUAAAACUCAGCCAACCCAACAAUGGCUUCGGGAGAAAAACAACUACCACAUUACAAAUUUUGGUUCUUUUUGUCCACAUAAUUUAACUAAGGGCAACUUACAAAAAUAUCUCUAAAAUUAAUGAUCUUUCGAAAAAUCAUAUAAAAGGUAUUUUGGAAGUAAAAGAUAAAGUGUAAAAUUAAGUGUCACUUUUGUUUUUUUUUUCUUUUUAAUGACACAAUGUCAAUUUUUAAAGUUAAGUGAAACUUUUUAAUAAAAAAAAAAAAAAAAAAAAAAAAAAGAAAGAAAGAAAGAAAAGUAAAGUGAUACACUAAAAAGAGUGACUAAAAAAGUGACAAAACGAUUAACACAUAUUCUAUUGCUAUUUCUUUAAUGAAGAAAUAUAUCCACCUAAAAUCCACGUAGAAAAUUAACACAAAUUCUGAAGAUUAUUUCUACACAUUCCACACAUUUGUUUUUUGAUCAUACAUUUAGUAAAGCAUUAUGUAUCUGUAAUGGAAAUUUUGCAAGAAAACAGAGCAUGGGAUAACCAGGGCAAAAUUCCAAGUUCCAACAAGAGAUUCAAUCAAGAACACAAAGAAAACUUUCUUGAAUCCAUUAAAUCCAUUCCUUCCCAUUUACAAGGAAUUACAAAAGGUGCCAUCAAAAGAGUGCCCAUUUUCGUAUAAAAAUAGGAUUCAAAUUCGGUUCAAGUGGAGUAACUAAAUUAAAAUCCCAAGAGAAUCAUAUUAAACCAUGAGAUAAUAUUUCACUGUUCAUAAAUUCCGAUUCAAACUCAAUUAUAUUUUUUAUGCCAGUACGUAUUAGAAUUUAAAACCUUGGAUCUUUUACAUAUAAUAAUAUGAGGAAAUUUAGGUAUAAAAUGAAAUAAAUUUCUCUUUGAUAUCUGAACUUUACAUAUGCAAACUCGAAAAUAAAUUCUUAGUGAUUUUACCUAUUCACGGUUGAUUGAGAAUUUGAUUUGUGAAAUUUGUUCUUUGAUGUUCAAGAAUUGGAGGUUUGUACCCGCAAAAGGCCCGUACGUAUAAAUUUGAAAAGGGCAACUUAGAGGGUUUUAGAAAAGGAACGUAUUUUCUACUCUUUAUGAAUAAUGCAUUCCAUUUUUCAAUUUGCUUAGUUUUAGGUAGUAACGGGCGUAAUUUACCCAAUAGUUUUCUGACAAAUUUCAAUCCAAGCCGAACGUCACUUCAUAAUUCACCUAACAUACUCACUCUUUUUAUUAUUUAGGUUUAACUGUUGCCAUUGUUUUUUGCCACAUUUAAGCUCAACGUCAUUCACAAUUCACCUAACACCCACUCAUUCUUUCAUUUAGAUUCAGCUGUUGCCAUCGUUUUCAGCCACUCUCCUCUCACAAGUCAUGACUUCAUCUUUGCUCCUCAAGAUCGUCAAUGUUUCGGCAUUAUUAUUUACUUUUUGAAUAAUUUUUACAUAUUGGUGAAUGGAUCUUAUUAGACAGCUUUUAUUUGUAUUUUUUAAUUGGACUAUGUUAUUUUGUAAAAGUUAAAAUUGAGCUAUCAUUCAUUAAAUUAAUAUAGUGUUGUUAUAAAUGUUAAAAAAUUUAAUUAUGGUAUGGAACCUAAGAAACCAAACCGAACCGAACCAACUCGAACCAAAGAGCCGAACUAUUUCGGUUCCAUAAUUAAAUUUGGACAUGACGAGUCCACUUAUUGAAUAUCUAAAAAAUCUGAUUCAAUUCGAUUUGAACCGAACCAUGUCCAACUCUAAUUUAGAUCAACUUUAGAUGAUUUUUCAUUUAUGGAAAUGGAACGCUAAUUCUCAAUGAUUGAAAAUUUGAAGUGUAUUAUAAAGAGUUCGCUGAGUUCGAUUGGAGUGGGACCAUUUGCUCUAUUAAAAGGCAUUAACAAUCAAAUUGAUUGCCAAUGUCGCAUUAGCUAUAGUGUUGACCUCGAAGUAUGGCCCAUCCCCCAAAUUUGAGGACUUUGAUUGGUGUUUGAUGUCAACCAUGUAGGUUAUCAUGCUAAUUAGGUUGUAUAUAUAGCCUAGGUUAUUAUUUCUUAUCAUCUAGAUAAUCAUUGCUUAUUUUUUAUUUGUGGAGGAUGAGUAACUAAUUUUAGGGCUAGCCCUGAAAAUUUAGAGGUCCUAGGCGACAAAUUAUUACGAGGCCCUCCAACAUAAUAUUUUUAUAGGUGCAACAAUAUUUAAAUAGAAUAAAGUAACAAUAUUUAAAUAAAAUAAUGUUACUUGUACAUAAGUAGUUAUAUAAUUAUUUAUAUGUAGAUGGGAUAUCAAAGAAAUUGUAGAGAAGUUUUUUUCUUUUUUUCUUGUUGAAGAAAUUCUAAGACGAUUAUAUCUCACCUAGGGUUGGACAAAACUCCCGAACCGAACCGAACCAAACCCGACGGUUGUUCUUAAGUUAAAUACCCAAACGGGUAUCCGAAUCAAGAAUCGAAGGGUACGGUUCGAUUCUCGGUUCUAGACCAAGAACCGAAUAAUCGAAUUUUUCUAAUUUUUUAUUUUUUUAUAUUGAAUAAAUCAAAUUAUUUUAAUUUUUUCUAAAUCUAAUUUUUUGGCCCAAUUAUUUGUUUCAUUUUUUAUUUUUUUAACCCAACAUCAAGCAUUCAAGCCUAUAUUAUCCUUCCAUUUUUAGCCCAACUCUAAAUCUCCAAUGUCCAACCCACUAAAUCCAAGUAUCCAACCCAAAAUAAACUACAUAGUACACUACAUACGGUCCCACCUCUUUUUUAAUACUAGUAUCUACUUUUUGGUAUAUGUAUACAUUGGUAAAUUAAUGUUAUUGGACAACUUAUUAUUUAUAUGUUUUUUAAUGGGACUUCGUUAAUUUGUAAAAGCUGUGAUUCAACAUGUUAUUAGUUGUAUUUAUGUGGUGUUGUAAAUGUUAAAAAAAUAUAAUUAUGGUACGGAACCAAACCGAGCCAAAUGGAACCGAACCCGAACGGUUCCAAUUACUAAGCACCCGAAAAUUUCGAGUCCGGUUCGGCUCUUCAUGUCCAGCCCUAAUCUCACCACAUCUUGUGUAUAUAAAUCUUUAUGUAAAUCUAUUAUGUAACAUAGAACAACCGAUUUAAAUAUUUAAAUAAUUAAUACUUUUAUAUUAAAAAAAAAGACUUUAUACAAUUCAAAGUAACUUGUAUAUAUAUAGUUGCAAAGGAGAGGAAAAAAAACCAAAUUGCAAAACCAUAAUUCCAAACAAUCACCGGGUGCAAUAAAAUUAAAAGAAAGUAACCCAGGCAAAAUACCAAUGAAGAGUAAUUAUACAAACAUCAGACGAAGAAAGUGGAUCUCAUUGUGAUAUAAACUAUCCUUCUGACAAAAUGCAAUUAAUUAAUUACCUUUCUUUUUUACUAUUUGUAACUCCAAUAAUAAAUAUAGAUCAAUUGAGAUUUAGCAAAUUGAUCAUUACCUCAAAAACUAUCAUCCUAGGUCAUGUUACCUAAUUAUUUCAUGAAUAUGCUCCCACAAAUGACUUAUUUAUGAAAGUUUUUUUGGAUUAGAAAAUAUCUUUCUCUAUAAAUAUUAAGACAUCUCAGCAAUUUGUUAUGUUUGGUGUUUACAAAUGAAUUAGUUAUUCUCUUCAUCUCACAAAAUAGGCCUGGAUAUUUUAACAAGAAUUGAACCUCCCAAACCAGAACAAGAGGUUUGGUUUGAUUUAAAAAAAAAAUUUAAUAAAUAAAUUUGGAACUGGAACUGAUAACCGAUUGGGUUCGAUUGAUUCUUAGUUCCUGAACCAGAACUAUGAGUACCCAAAUAGAAUCGAUUUUUAAGAUAAUUUUUUGUUUACAAUUUAUAUGUUGGGUAAAAAAAUGCAAAACUUAUAAAUCCUAAUUUAGGUAGUAAUUAGUCUAAAACUCUAAACCCAGGAAAUCAAGACUGGCUCUUACUCUUUUACCUUUUACCUUACAUUAUAUUGUUGAAUUUCAGAUGUUAACACAUGUUAAUCUUUGCAAUUUCGGCUUUCUAUGAAUCAAAAAGUUCGAGCUAGAUUAUGAUGUAAGUUGAUGAAUCAAAACAUUAAUUCUUUACAAUUCGAGCUUUUUACUUUCUUGCAUUGUUUACAACUUAAGUGAUUUUUUCAUUUUUUUAAUAAUGCAUAGCAAUUGAACUCGAUAAAUUCAUAGCUUGGAUAGUGUAUAUUUUUUAUUAUCUAGAGUUUGUGAUUCUUUUUUGAAAUAGAAUUUUUUUUCUUUUUAAUCAAACAGACCAAGUUCACUAUGUGGACUGCAAUUUUUUGAUACUAUAUAGUUAUGUAUCUAAUUAAUAUUUUUUAUAUCAGUUCGUUUUAAUAGUACAAGAAUUUAAGAAGUGUUCAUAAUUAAACUAUAAGUUCUAGCAUGUUUCACUUAUGGAUCGAAUAAGAUUUAUUAAGAAAAAUAAGUUCUUCUCAGAUUGUAAUUUAAUUUUGAUAUUUUUGUUCUCUUCUUUCGUGGUUUGUAGUCUCUACUAUUUUGCUUAAUGAAAAUUUUUUAGCUGAAUUUUCUACCUUGCACAAAUAUUAUCGUGUAGUAGCAUAUUGGAUAUACAUAUACCUAAAGGGUAUAUGGGAAAAUGUUUAUUUAAUGUACAUAAUAAAAAAUUUUAUUGGUAGAAUCGAACCCAAAUCGAAACCAUCUAUUCCGGUCUGGAUUUGGUUCCAAUAAUUACAAGAACCAGAAUGGUUCCAAUUACUGAAUACUCGAAGUAUAAUGGGUGAUCUGAUGUAUUGAUACUCAAACCGACCCACCCGAUGCCUAGGCAUACCACAAAGAUAGGCUUGUUUCAUUUUAACAUAGAUUUGAAAUUGUAAUUAAUAUAAUUAAAAAUAUAAAUUUUUUCUAAUAUACCCCUAAAUUAAAUAAUAAUUUAAUAUGAAAAGCUCUUAUUUGUUGAUAACAAAGCACAAUAAAGAUGAGCAUAUUAAAAAAUUAAAAUAAUAAAUUAUACUCUCAACAAAGAAAUUGACUUAUAAUUUGAGACAAACAAAAAAGUAAAGCAAGUCUAUCUCUAAGGGACGAAUGAUGGAGUGUUGACCGAAAUGGGCACUAAAUAAGUUUUGGAAUUUUUAAUUCUGUCAAAAAAAGAGGGGAAUGCACAUUUGCAAAAGGAAAAUACAGAUUUCUAUACAUAAAAUUUCGAUACGACAGUGGGUCCACACAUACAUUGCUUUGCAUUAAGCUAAAAAAAAAUAAAAGAAAAAAAGAAAAAGACAGACUAUUUAGAGGGAAGUUCAAUGAGCAAAAUUGAAAUUAACCCUCUUAUAGUGAACCAAAAUAGCUAUAAAAUUGAAAUAAUCAAUCAUACAUUAAAAAAAGGAAUAAUGUUAUCUAGCACAAGUAGUGUUAGAACACCUGUUUAGAUGACUAUAUAUACUUUAUAGAUUCAAUUAAAUGAAUCAUGUGACUUAGCAUUCAAAUCAAUCUAUCAUUUAUUGUCAUAUAAUUGCCACAUAUAUUGGUGCUUAACAUUAGUGAUGAUGAAUAACAUUUCUCCACAUCUAUUACAAUAUAGAGAGAGACAUAAUUAAUGGUGACGAUAGUUGGGUUGAGAUGGCCUUUAUAGUAUGUUGACCUUGCCUGAAGGCAAUAAGAGGUUAAGAGCCACUAAAAAUUCGACCCAACAUAGACCUUUAGCAAGCCAAAUGGGCUCUUUAUGCAACCCAAUGUGCUCAGCUCAACUCAAUUGAUACCACUAGAUAUAAGAGUUAUCCAUGUCAUGUACUUUAUUGCACAGAAUUUUGUUGCAUUGAGACCUCUGAUUGUGAGAUGCAAAUUAAUUUGCUAAACUACUUGAUCUCAUAACAUUACAAAUUCUGUUCCAAAUUAUGGAAAUUCUUUCUUGACAUUCAAAAUAUAUGAGGAAAAACAAAAAGAGAAGUGAACGCAAAAAAAUAAAUAAAUAAAAAUAAACAUAUAGAAGUCUUCUAUUUAAAAAUGGGAUUAGACAAACAAAACAAAAAAAAUAAAAAAUAAAAAAAAAAUCAAAUUUUCUCUCAUUUUCUUUUAAUUUUCUUCCAGUUUUCUUUUUCUUAAUAUGAAGCGUGUUGUAGGAGCACAUUUUCAAAAGAAACCUAAAUAUUGAGGAAGUUGUAGGGAAAUGAGACUAAGUUAUACGGCAUGAUAUAAAGUAUUAAUCACAACAACAAGAUGAGCACAAAGAUAAGAAUUUAAUUUGAUAGAGAACUUGGAGAUUUUAUUCAACAACUAUAAUGGAGAGAAAAUGCAAUAAUUGUGUUCCUAUACAAUGACUCUUAACUUUCAAUAAUUAUCUAAUUGUAAAGAAAAGUGUACUAUUCAUAGGGAUACAUAUCAAACUCUAAUAAUAGCUCAAAAGACGGAAACUACAUCAAAUGCAUGUAAAAUGAAAUCGGAGAAAAAAAAUCUGAUGUUUCGUCGCUCAAGCACUGGCCUCGCGCCAGGCGAGCGUCAGUAGUGCUACUCAAGCGGCCCUAUAGGGGUAGUUGAGCAAAAGGCUCUCUGCUCCAAAAUUCAUCCCACCGCUUGAGUAGUGGGCAGGGCAGGUUAGAGCCAUGUCACCUAAUCUUCUUCUUGGACCUUAUUUGAUUAUCUUCAAGCCCAAUACUUCAAAUCAUGCAACCCCUGAUCUAAAUUUGAAUCACAAAACCCAACAAUCUUCACCUCGACACAUAUUCCACUAUUAUGAUCAUGUCUCCAAAAUUAAUCCACCUUGAGAAAAAAAAUCAAACUGUAAAGAAUGAACCGAACUCUUCAACAAUAACUAAACUAACUUAUCCAAAAAACUAAAAACAGUCGACCUCUUCCACAAUUCCAACUAUGAUACUUGAAUCCAAGAACUGCUCCAUAAAAUUACUUUGGGUUCAACCCAAAAAAUCAAAUAAUGAUUUUAAAAUCGGCCAAACUGGGCCAAAACAUACCUUGAAGCAGAAUCUAACUAAAUGCUUUUGUAGAAACUAGAAAGCCCCUUGCUAGUUUGAACAUCUGCAAAUACGCUUAAAGCAUGCGCAACAAAAUCAGUUUUCCGGUACCUUUCUUCAAGGGAUCUAUCCAUAGCAAUUACAUAAGAUGACACUAUAGGUGAUGGUGGUAAAUCAGCAUUACCAAUAUCCACUGAACUCAACUGAGUUGUAUUCUUCAAUACGGACCUUGAACUAAAUCCCAACAAUAUUAUACCAGAUUGAAUAGCCACCACGGUACUAAACCUUUGCUGAUUAAUGUUCAUAAAUUUUGCAUGACCUUGCAAGAUGUAUAAAUGAGAACUAUUCUAUCUCUCCAAUAGAACCCGUGCACCCUUACAAACCUUCAAAGCUCCAUUUCCACCAAAUAACUUAUAACCCUUUCAAUCAAAAGUAAUUAAUGAGAUGGAUUUUUCUUCAAAUCUAAAACAUGUUGAACCUGACCAAGUGUUUUAGCUAUCCCAUUCAACCACUUUAAUUUGACUUUACCAAUACCAGCUACACAAAAAAGUGGUUGUUCAAAAUUGUUUCAUAUGUUACAAACAGAUCCCAAUUGAGACAUAUAUGAAAAGCACAAGCUAGAAUCCAAUCCUCGUUAAGAUUGGAGUUGCCGUUAAAAAUAGCCAAUACAUAUCCAUCACCCAAAUAAUCCUCUACGACAUUAGCUUCACCUGAAGUAUCUGAUUCUGUCCCUUCUGAUUUGUAGCCAAAUUUACUUUUUCUGCAACUUGUUACAAUUCCUCUUGAUGUGCCCAUUUUUCUUGAAAUAAAAUAAACUUGAUUAUUGAAAUAGGAUUUUGACCUACCGCUUCUAUGACCACAAUGAACAACAAGGCCUUGUCCGUCUCUAGCCUCAAAUCCAAUUAGAUAUUUCAUCUUCUCCUUUUAAAACAAAACAUCAUAUGCAUCUUCAAUGAUGAAAGUAUCACGACUAUACAAAAUUGUGUCUCUAAAUGAAAUAAACGAAGCAAACAAUAAACACAAAAGAAUGAAAGCUAAAUCUUCUGAUUUCCUUAAAAACAGCCAAAAUGAUCUUCCUAUUAUCUGCCUUAUGUUAUGUGAUAAGAAUACAACCUUGACUUCAUUUGCAAUUUACUUGUCAAACUCUUAAUCAUAUAGAAUUACUCCAACUUCGACCACAACGUAUUUGUCGUUUUUCCCUUCAAAACUUUCUUAAGAAUAUUAUUCGAAAGAUGAAAACGAAUUUGUAAAAGCAACUUUUGAUCCUUCCAUUGUUUCUCCUCCAUCAUCCAAGUUGUGGGCAUUUUAUCAAAUUCCAACAACGCAUCAUCCAAAUCCAUCUAAGUGAGUACUGCAUCGUCUCAUGCCAUAUUAAGAAUCGAGUACUGCGAUCUAAAACUAGAAUGUCAUAAUUCAAGGUUGACAUCAAUAACAAGAAACCACGAAAAAAUCAAACCAAAGCUUUGAUACCAUUUGUUGAGAAUUUGGACGAGAUUAUACGACAAGACAUGAAGUAUUGAUUGAUAAGUGUGUUUUUACGCACUUAUUUAGUUCACAAACAUGACGUAAUUAAGAGCAAAAUAUUGGAUUUGUGAUUUAAUUUUUGUUAAUUUGUGUAUCGUAGGAUAUACUGAUGAACAUGGUGAAAUUCAGGAGAAAAGAGGCGAAAAAGGACUAAAUUGAAGCAAAGUGAAAGUUCGGGAACAAAGUGCAAUUAUCUGAAAAGUUGAUCCAACAGACACAUCAAGCAAUUGAUUGAGCUAGGUACCAAUUGGAGGUCAUAAUGAAACAUUGGAACAAUUAGAAACACGAAAGGAGGUCAAGAAGUCGAUGAAUAAAGUUUUAUGAUCAACAUAACAUAAUUUGAAAGUUUUUUUCUACUAUGCGGUCGCAUGGUAGAAACCUUAUGCGGUCACGAACACUGAGUCAGGGAAUUAAUACACCAAAUUUCAUAAACCUAUGCGGUCACAUAGGUAUAUUUUGGGGUUGAUUCUGCAGAUUCUUAUUCGCGAUGAAAUUCUUAUGGAAGCCUAAUCUAAACGUGAUAUAAAUACCCAAAUUCAUCAGAAACAAAGGAAGAAUGCAUUGGAAAGAAGAAAAACACAUCUUGGAGAGGAUCUUGAGCGAAAGGAACGAAGAAAUUUACGAAGAUCAUCCAGAUUUCAUGCAAAUUCAUAUCCCGGUGAUGCUUUUUCUUCAAUCUACUAUGUAUUUUGAUUUUUUCUCCAUGUUAGGCUAGAUUUUCAUGUACUAGGAGAUUGAUGAACCAUGUGAUGUAAUAUUUCAUUUUCUAGUUUUACAAGUUGACAUUAAAAUGCGUAUUUGGAUAUUUGAAUGAAUUAUAUGCAUUGAUUUUCUUCCAUAAUUAAGUGCAUGUAAUUAUGUGACGUGUGGUGGUUUAUUUCAUUUAUUCGAGAGAAGAGAAAUAAAUUCGACAAGGUAUAAUUUAUCGUAGGGUCCAAUAGGGGAUAGAGAUAUACCUCUAUGCUUUAUGUGAAUCUUUAAGUGCUCAUAAAAUUGAAUGCAUUUUUAUAUAUGCACUUGUCAUAGAAAUAUAGGCCUAUGGUAUGUAAAAAUAGGUUCAAUACAUCUCGAGAGGGAGUAUUGGAUAGAAUGAGGAGCAUUGAUUCGUCAAUAAUUUAACACCUGUCAUUAGUGAAACUAGGGUUUAAGAUGAUCAUUGCAUGAAAAUUCGUGAUCCUAGUGUGAUUAACAUUCAUUGAAUACAACAAACUUGCGUUCGAACCAUUUAAUCUGCAUUUUAAUUAAUUAAAACAUCAUUUUGCAUAUUUGAUCCUUUAAUUCAUAACAUUUACAUAAUUAGGGUUUCCUUUUGGUUAACAAUUCAAUUUGGAUAAUUCAAUUUCAGUUAAAGCUCCGAUAGAUAGAAUUGAACUACUCGAUCCCUGUGGAACGAUAUUCAGAUUCAAAUAUCCACUUUAUUACUUAUUAACGAACAGUACACUUGCGGUGGUUUAAAUCGAAAUUAAUAUUUCGUGAACAAGUUUUUGACGCCAUUGCCGGGAGAUUGAGUUUAGUUUAAUUUUAUUUCUUUCUAGACACUAUUUCGAACUUUCAAUUUUCAUUUUUAUUUAUACAUUUAAUUUCGUUUAGGCAUUUUGCUUUAUUUUUAUUUUAUUAUUUAUAUUGAUAGAAUCUGAGUGCUACUAUUGAUUCUCUCGCAGAGUUGCAUGUCUACAACGACGGGAGGAGAAUUAAUUCCAGCAAACUCGAAAAUUGAGCGAACCUUUUAUCGAUUGCAACGAGAAAAUAGAGAAGCACGUCAGCAACAACAAGAGCAAAUGGCUAACUUACAGAACAACCCUGUUUUUCAAGCUAAUGAAGGAGAGGCGGUGGAUGAAGAAAAUGAAAUUUUGGGAGAUUUCUUGACUCAUGUGAUUCAAAGCUAGUCCAGUAUAGUGUAUCCACCGUUUGGACAACCAAACUUCUAGUUGAAGACCAAUGUGAUACAGCUAUUCAAGAAUGGACAUCAAUUUUAUGGCAGAGCUGAAUCAUUUGACGACGCCUGGAAUAGAUUAAAAAACAUGCUCCAAAAGUGCCCUCAACAUGGGUUUGACAAAAAGACCCAAAUUCGAUUCUCUUAUAAAGGGUUACUUCCUUACCACAAAAGCAUGGUGGACUCAGCAUCAGAUGGCUCAAUAUCCACACGAACAAUUGAUGGGGCAUUGGAACUAUUCGAGAGAAUGGCUACCAUUUCAGCCAUUUGGUCUUCUGAGAGGGUGAUCCCAAAGAAAAGGUCUAGGUGUCUACGAGAUAGACACUUAUUCAGCCAUAGCCACAAAGAUCGACUCUUUGUGUUACAAGGUUGAAAGCAUGUCACAGUCAGCACACGUUAAGAAGAACAAUUGUGAGGAAUGUAGAGUUUAGCAUAAAACAUCAGACUGCCCAAUCAUAAUGCAAGGAAUUGAGCAGGCAGACUAUGCACAGUGGGGACAGUGCCAACCUAACAACUCAUAUGGGAAAACUUACAAUCCCAAUUGGAAGAGGCGUCCCAACUUUUUUUGAAGCAACUAGAAUCAGAAUAAGCCACGGGAACAGUUUCAACAACAAGAGAAGAGACCUCAAUUGGAAGAAAUGUUAGGGAAAUUCAUGGAGAAUGACGAGGCUAUCCUUCAGAACAAAAAUGAAGCCUUUAAAAAUUUGGAAACUCAGAUGGGACAGCUAGCCAUGGCGUUAAAUGGCAGAGCAUCGGGUAAUCUAUCGAGUAACACAUAAAUUAACCCAAGGAGCAAGCUAAGGCUAUUACAACUCGAAGUGGGAUGCAGCUACCCGAAAUACGUGUUAAGAGACCGAGUGUGAUGAGAGAACCACCUCCUACAGAGGAAGAAACUAUGGAACAGGACGAACAACCAAAAGAAUCAACUCCAAAGGGAAGUUUAGAGAAUUCACGGGAUAAAGCCAUGGUUACAGUCAACCCAUAUAAGCUUCCAAUUCCAUUUCCCCAGGGGUUGAGGAAACAUAAAAUGGAGCAGCAGUACAAGAAAUUCCUCGAAGUCUUCAAAAAGCUCUACAUCAAUAUCCCGCUAGCAAAUGUACUAUCCCAAAUGCCCAGCUAUGCAAAGUUUGUGAAGGACAUUCUAUCAAAUAAAUGCAAGUUGGAAGACCACGAGACAAUAAUGCUUACAAAAGAAUGUAGCGCCAGAAUUCAGAAAAACCUCCUGCUAAAAUUGAAAGAUCCAGAAAGUUUUACUGUUCCUUGUACUAUUGGUGAAGUUUAUUUUGAUAAAGCCUUAUGUGAUCUUGGUGCAAGUGUUAAUUUAAUGCCUCUGUCUGUUUUUAGGAAACUCGGCUUGGGAGAGGCUAAAGCGACUACCGUAACACUGCAGUUGGCUGAUAGGUCGCUGACCCACCCAAGGGAAAUAAAAGAAGACGUGCUUAUCAAAGUCCCUGUAGAUUUCCUCAUCUUGGACAUAGAGGAAGACAAGGACAUCCCGUUAAUACUCGGCAGACCAUUUUUGGCAACAGAGAGAGCCUUAAUUGAUAUUCAGAGGGGACAGUUAAUUUUGAGAUUGGGGAAGGAGCAGAUAUCAUUCAACGUCUUUAAGGCCAUGAAACUCCCUUCUGAAUCAGAUAGCUAUUUCCAUGUCAAUGUCAUUGAUAUGGUGGUCCAGAAGACAUUCUUACUUAACAGCACAUCCGAUGCUUAUGAGGCGUGUAUUGCACAUUCUCAUUCAGCCCAGUCAGGCUCUCUUGAGAUUGAGACAUGUGCAAAGUUUCUGGAGACAAACCCGCCAUACACACGAAAGAGACAUUUCGAGGAGCUAAGAACAGGGACCACAAAACCAUUACCCUCUAUUCAGUAGCCGCCAGUAUUGGAACUUAAGCAACUGUCCCCACAUCUCAGAUAUGCUUAUUUGGGAGAGUCAUGUACACUCUUGAUGAUUAUUUCAAACACAGUUAGUAAGGUGAAGGAAGAAAGACUGCUUAGGGUACUCAGAGAAAAUAAGACUGCAAUUGGGUGGACGAUAGCUAACAUUAAAGGGAUUAGUUCUUAACUGUGUAUGCACAAAAUUCUCAUGGAGGAGAAUUGUAAGCCAAGUAUAGAAGGACAGAGUAGACUAAAUCCAAACAUGAAGGAAGUGGUAAGGAAAGAAGUAUUGAAAUUAUUGGAUGCUGGUAUUAUAUACCCAAUUUCAGACAGUGCAUGGAUCAGCCCAGUUCAAGUUGUGCCGAAGAAAGGGAGAAUGAAUCACAGUGGUACAAAAUGAGAAAGUGAGCUAAUUCCUACCAGAGCAGUGACGGGAUAGAGAGUUUGCAUUGAUUAUCGCAAACUCAAUGCAGCUACAUGAAAGGACCAUUUUUCACUCCCAUUUAUUGAUCAGAUGCUAGAAAGGUUGGCAGGGCAUUCACAUUACUAGAUGGAUACUCGGGCUCCAACCAGAUACUAGUUGCGCCAGAGGAUCAAGAGAAGACCACGUCCACUUGUCCUUAUGAUACUUUCACCUACCAUAGGAUGCCAUUUGGUCUGUGCAAUGCUCCAGCUACAUUUCAGAGAUGCAUGAUGGCAAUAUUCUCUUAUAUGAUUGAAAGAUUCAUAGAGGUGUUCACGGACGAUUUCUUAGUUUUUGGAUCGUCAUUUGAUGAAUGCUUGGAGCAUUUAAAUCUGAUCUUACAGAGAUGCAAGGAAACUAACUUAGUUCUGAACUGGAAAGAAUACCACUUUAUGGUACAGGAAGGAAUUGUACUUGGACAUCGGGUCUCAGCAAAGGGAAUUGAGGUGGACAAAGUGAAAAUUCAGGUUAUUGAGAAGCUACCACCACCAACACCAGUUAAAGGGGUCUGUAGUUUCUUGGGGCAUGCGGGGUUUAUAAUUAUAAAGGAUUUUUUGAAAAUCACUAAGCCGCUGUGCAAUCUACUGAUGAACGACGUACCUUUUGAGUUUAAUAAGGAAUGCCUGAUAGCAUUCAACACUUUGAAGGAGAAACUCACGUCAGCACCGGUAACUGUAGCGCCAGAUUGGGGAUUGUCUUUUGAACUAAUGUGUAAUGACAGUGAUCACGUCGUGGGUGUAGUAUUGGGAAAACAGAGAAACAAGGUUUUUCACAUGAUCUACUAUGCAAGCAGAACCCUAAAUGAUGCGCAGAUCAAUUACGCUACCACUGAAAAUGAGCUCUUAGCCGUAGUAUAUGCAUUCGACAAGUUUAGAUCAUAUCUUAUGGGAUCUAAGGUCAUAGUUUACACAGAUCACGCUGUACUGAAAUAUCUGCUAACAAAGAAUGAUGCGAAGCCGAGUUUGAUCCGAUGGAUAUUGUUGCUGCAAGAAUUUGACAUUGAAAUCAAAGACAAAAAGGGAAGUGAAAAUGUGGUAGCAGAUCAUCUGUCCCGAUUGGAGUCUACAGAGAUAGAAGAAUUAGUGGAUAUCAUU
rnacentral:lncRNA from 1 species